rnacentral:lncRNA from 1 species
CAGUUUUUGGGGACCUCACUUUCCUAACAGAUUUCUUUCUCCUUUCCUUGUAAAGACCUAACCGUUCCUCAGAGAUGGUUCACUUCUUCCCUGCACCAUUUGUACAUAUCAAGCAAAUGGCUACAUUUAAACUAUCAUGCCUGAGAUUCAAGUUCUGUCUCCCAGAAGGAUAUAUACAAACCAACUGUGGAUGGUUUCCAUGCUGGGCAUAUGGCUCAUGCUUGUAAUCCCAGUCCUCAGGAGGCUAACGCAGAAGGAUUGUGGCAAAUUGGAGGCCAACCUGGGCUACAUUGAGUUCAAGGUCAACCUGAACUAUAUAGUGAGACCUCAUCUCAAAAACAAAACAAAAUGUACACACACAGAAACACAGACACCAAAUAAAAAGAAGGAUUUCAAAUGUUCAAUGCUGCAUUUAGGAGUUAAGAUUAAAGAAGUUUCAAAGGAGACAUAGGCCAAGACAGUCAGUAUGUUUUCUUAAACUGUGACUAUUCUCAUCUAAGCACCAAAAUAGGUUUCCCAAGGCAGUCUUUAAAUUUCUUGUUCUCAUUUUUUGCUUAGGAAAUUCUUAUUUCUACUACUUGAAGGAAAAAUAAAAUGACAUGAGGAUUUUCAUCCUUAUCCCCAACCAAAAUUUAGAUCAAGCCUUUCUUUUCCCCACCCAUGGUGUCCACUAUUGGAUUUGUGCGCUCAAAAUCUGUUAAUGUGACUGUAGAGACAAUGUGGGAAAAGAUGAGCAGGCUAUAAUAACAAGCAAAGAAGCCAAGGUUCAAUAUUAAGUUCUUGAAAUGAUUAAAGUUAAGUUAAAAUUCUAUAUACAUACUGAUAAAAUUCAAAGGAGAC